UUCCUCGUUAGGUGAGGCUCCUAUAUGAAGAUAUGCUACUGCCCAGAAACGUCCAAAGACGCCAACGGGUCAGCAGAAGUCAUCGAGUUAAGGUGAUUUUUAAUGUAGCUGGUACAUCCUAUGUCAUAUAGUGCUAAAACUCUACGAAAGAGGU
rnacentral:sRNA from 1 species